GGAGGUGUGGCUAGUUGGUAGAGCACCUGCCUGACAUGCACAAAGCCUUGGGUUUCAUUCCCAGUACCUCAC
rnacentral:tRNA from 1 species